rnacentral:misc_RNA from 1 species
AGAGUUGAUCAGAUUACAGGGAUGGAAGCCUAGUAAACUGUGUGUCACCUCUAAUGGUGAUCUCCUGGUUACCAUGUACAGUGGUGAUAAAACUCAAUCCAAAGUUGUCCGUUACUCGGGAUCUACAAAGAAACAAACAAUUCAGUUUGAUGAUGAAGGUAAACCUCUGUACUCAGGGAAUAGUUCUUUUAAAUACAUCACUGAAAACAGAAACCAUGACAUCUGUGUUGCUGACAAUGAGGCUAGAGCACUUGUAGUGGUUAAUGAGGACGGGAAACUCAGAUGGAGAUACAUCGGUCAUCCCUCAGUUACCAAGAACAAACCAUUUAAACCCUGUGGUAUCACAACAGACAGUCAGAGUCGUAUCCUGACAACAGACGGUGACAACCAUUGUAUUCACAUCCUGGAUCAGAAUGGACAGUUUCUCCGUUACAUUGAUAACUGUAAUCUGGAGUAUCCCUCUGGUUUAUGUGUGGACAAUAAUGACAAUCUGUUUGUAUCAGAACAUUUUAAAGGCAAUGUAAAGAAAAUAAAAUUUCUCAGAUAGACACCAAACUGGGUGAUAGAGAUUGAACAAGACUAUUUCCAUGAAUUUGAUGAUUUGUUGUGAGUAAAGUAAACUUUGUUCAUAUCAGGGGUGCAGAACAUAAUUAUAUAUUUCAUAUUAUGUAUUAAUAAAUAUUUACAUUCAGUGUAAUUUAUUAUGAUUGCAUUGAAAAUCUGUAAUGUUCAAUUUCAUGUGAAUUAUUACACUUAGCCUGCUCAUGCGUCAGAGCACAAAAUUAAAUAAAACGUCAUCA